UACGGGAGACAGCAGUUAGGAAUAUUCGUCAAUGGGGGAAACCCUGAACGAGCAAUGCCGCGUGAGUGAUGACGGCCCUCUGGGUUGUAAAACUCUGUUGUUUGGAAAGAACUGUAAAAAUAGGAAAUGAUUUUUACUUGACGGUACCAUUCAAGAAAGCUCCGGCUAACUACGUGCCAGCAGCCGCGGUAAU
rnacentral:rRNA from 1 species